rnacentral:rRNA from 1 species
CACGUAAGGUGCGAGCGUUGUUCGGAAUCAUUGGGCGUAAAGGGCGCGUAGGCGGCCUUGCAAGCGGGGUGUGAAAGGCGGGGGCCCAACCCCCGGACUGCGCCCCGAACUGCAGGGCUUGAGUCGCCGUGGCGCCGGGGGAAUUCCGGGUGUAGGGGUGAAAUCUGUAGAUAUCCGGAAGAACACCGGUGGCGAAGGCGUCCGGCGAGCGGACGACUGACGCUGAGGCGCGAAGGUGCGGGGAG